AUGCAGUCGAACGGCAGCACGGAGCUUGCUCUGGUGGCGAGUGGCGAACGGGUGAGUAAUAUAUCGGAACGUACCCUAGAGUGGGGGAUAACGUAGCGAAAGUUACGCUAAUACCGCAUACGAUCUAAGGAUGAAAGUGGGGGAUCGCAAGACCUCAUGCUCGUGGAGCGGCCGAUAUCUGAUUAGCUAGUUGGUAGGGUAAAAGCCUACCAAGGCAUCGAUCAGUAGCUGGUCUGAGAGGACGACCAGCCACACUGGAACUGAGACACGGUCCAGACUCCUACGGGAGGCAGCAGUGGGGAAUUUUGGACAAUGGGCGAAAGCCUGAUCCAGCAAUGCCGCGUGAGUGAAGAAGGCCUUCGGGUUGUAAAGCUCUUUUGUCAGGGAAGAAACGGUGAGAGCUAAUAUCUUUUGCUAAUGACGGUACCUGAAGAAUAAGCACCGGCUAACUACGUGCCAGCAGCCGCGGUAAUACGUAGGGUGCAAGCGUUAAUCGGAAUUACUGGGCGUAAAGCGUGCGCAGGCGGUUUUGUAAGUCUGAUGUGAAAUCCCCGGGGCUCAACCUGGGAAUUGCAUUGGAGACUGCAAGGCUAGAAUCUGGCAGAGGGGGGUAGAAUUCCACGUGUAG
rnacentral:rRNA from 1 species